UACAGAGGGGGCGAGCGUUGUUCGGAAUUACUGGGCGUAAAGGGCUCGUAGGCGGCCAACUAAGUCCGACGUGAAAUCCCCAGGCUUAACCUGGGAACUGCGUCGGAUACUGGAUGGCUUGAAUCCGGGAGAGGGAUGCGGAAUUCCAGGUGUAGCGGUGAAAUGCGUAGAUAUCUGGAGGAACACCGGUGGCGAAGGCGGCAUCCUGGACCGGCAUUGACGCUGAGGAGCGAAAGCCAGGGGAGCAAACGGG
rnacentral:rRNA from 1 species